GUCUAUCUUGGUCGCUUUGGAGAGGCCUCGGAGCCCCAUCCCGCAAUGCAACCUCUCGCCUUCCUCAACCUCCGUCCACCUCCGCCGCUCACGGUGCCUCACUGCCACUCUCCGACCGAGCUCGCGACCGACGGGGCGUCGACGCCGCCCAAGCAACGGAGGCCGGAGAUGGUGGGCGGUCGCGGAGGAGGAAGACGACCCGGAGGACGACCCCGGAGGACGCGGCUCGAGCGCGGGCGGGAGAGAGUCUCGACCCGUCCGACAUUGGAUGGCUCCGGCGACGAAAGUGACGACUACACCGACGGCGAUGCUCCUCCUUGGCACCUUCCCUUCUUUCAGAACCGCGCUUUCGAGGAGUACUACAAAGAACAAGGGGUAGUUUCAGCAGAUGAGUGGGAUGCUUUCAUGGAGUAUCUCCGGAAGCCGCUGCCGGCUACCUUCAGAAUCAAUUCUUGUAGCCGAUUCUGUUUCAAUAUCCGGUCUCAGUUGGAGAGUGAAUUCUCAAAUAAUCUUCAAGCAGAGUUCAUUGAUGGAAAUGAAGUAGAGGCUGUCAGACCAUUGCCUUGGUAUUCUGACAAUCUAGCAUGGCAAUCAAAUUUUUGUCGAAAGCAAUUGAGGAAGAACCCAAAUCUUGAAAGGUUUCAUGAGUUUUUAAAGCUAGAAAACAAAAUUGGAAACAUCACUCGACAGGAGGCAGUCAGCAUGGUACCUCCUCUUUUACUGGAUAUAUCUCCAGAGCAUUUCGUACUUGACAUGUGUGCUGCGCCUGGCUCAAAAACUUACCAAAUGCUUGAAAUUAUGAAUCAGUCCACCAACUCAAGAUUGCUACCUGAGGGGCUGAUUGUGGCAAAUGAUGUUGGUUUCAAAAGAUCUGAUGUUCUCAUUCACAAAAUGAAAAGAAUGUGCACUGCCAACUUAAUGGUCACAAACCAUGAAGCUCAAAAUUUCCCAGGCUGCCUUACAAGCACAAGUCAUUCUAAUGCUUCUGAAAAGGGUAGCCUAUCAGAUCGGGAAAUCAGUCAAAUUUUAUUUGAUCGUGUGCUAUGUGAUGUGCCAUGCAGUGGAGAUGGUACUCUUAGGAAAGCUCCAAAUAUUUGGUGGAGAUGGAAGGCAGGAAUUGCCAAUGGACUUCAUGGCCUACAAGUGCAGAUAGUCAUGCGAGGAAUAUCAUUACUUAAAGUUGGUGGCCGUAUGGUCUACUCAACCUGCUCCAUGAAUCCGGUUGAGAACGAGGCAGUGGUUGCAGAGAUAUUAAGAAGGUGUGGAGACUCAGUUGAACUUGCUGAUGUUUCCAGUGAGCUCCCCCAGCUUGUUCGCCGCCCUGGCCUUCGAAAAUGGAAGGUACGUGACAAGUUCUCUUGGUUUUAUUCCUUCCUAGAUGUUCCUGAAGCUCGCAGGGGUGGAGUUGCUUCCAGUAUGUUUCCUUCUGGUAGAACACAUAUGGAUGAGGCAAUUGAACGAGAGUUUAGCAACAUUAAAAAUUCUAAAAAUGGGUUUCGGAAGGUGGAGAAUUGCCUCACCGCUGAUAAUGAAAUUUCUGAUUUUCCUUUGGAACGCUGUAUGAGAAUAAUGCCUCAUGAUCAGAAUGGUGGUGCCUUCUUCAUUGCUGUCUUCCGAAAACUUGCUGCCUCACCAGCCAUACAUGUAGAAUCAACAAGUUCACAAGGCACACUAUUCACUGAAAACACUGGGCAGCUAAAAAAAUUUCCAGAUCAGGUCCUUCAAGAGAGUUUGCAGCUUAAAGUAUUUUCGAAAUCAGUUUUGGAGACUGAUUUCACUGAUUUUCCUGAUAAGUCUGCUCUCAAGUCUGGCCAUUGCAAUCCUUGCACGGAGCAGCACCCUCCGAAGAUCAAGGCUCCUGUUGACCAAGAAAAAGCAGAAGAUAAAAGAAUGUUCCAGAAUCAAAGCAAGUGGAAUGGAGUUGAUCCGGUUGUUUUCUUAAAAGAUGAAGUUGUUAUCAACAGUAUCAGGACAUUUUAUGGUAUUGACGAAUCAUUCCCAUUGAGUGGCCACCUUGUGACAAGAAAUGCUGAGUCCGACCUUGUGAAGAGAAUUUACUAUGUUUCUAAGUCAGUCAAGGAUCUUCUGGAAUUGAAUUUUCAAGUUGGGCAGCAACUAAAGAUAGCCUAUGUAGGCCAGAAGAUGUUUGAGAGAAAGAAGUCAAAAGAAGAUCCUUCUGCCUCGUGCCCAUUCCGGAUAUCUUCUGAAGGAUUGCCUAUUAUUCUCCCACACGUCACUAAACAAAUCCUGCAUGCUUCGCCCACAGACUUUGGGCAUCUUUUGCUCUACAAGAGCAGGAAAUUUGAAAAUUUUGUCAAUUUUGAGUUUGGGGAGAAGGCAUCAAAGCUAGAGCUGGGUUGCUGCGUGGUCGUCCUGAAGAAAGAUGGUGAAUUGCCAUUCAGUGACACUCGGGUGGAUGAAUCCAUGAUAGCAAUUUUAUGCUGGAAGGGUAAAGUCAGUUUGAAUGUGAUGGCCAGUGAUAAUGACUGCCAGGAACUACUACAAAGGCUUCGACUGUGUGAAGGAAGCGGAAAGGAGUCUCCUCUACAUGUUAACAAGCCUUCUGAAAAUUCAGAUGGAGACAAUGAAAAGAAAGAUCUACUCUGCUGACUUAAUUGAACUCAUGGACCAUCUACUCUGGUUCUGCUAAUUUUUGUCCUACCUAUUGAUCACACAAGGCAUGCCCUGUUGUUACUGGAAGCAAGCAAAAGGGUUAAACAAAAACAGAUUGAAGGGGCGUUGGUUUGGCCGUUGGAUUUCAUGUCAACUGCUUCGGCAAAUCGUUAGUAUUACAGGUUUCAGAGCCGGGAAAUUGAAAGUGAUUAUUCCAUUUUCAGGACACGGUGCUUUAGAAAGAAUGCUAGAGGGCAAAACUUUAAACUAGUUUUUUUGAAAUACCUUUCUUUCCUUCCACAAGAGAAGACUCUAGAAAAGAGAGUAAAUGAACACAUGGUAGGUUUCGCAGGCCAAAACAAACAAACAAACACACCGUAGGUUUUGAUUUUUAAGAUACACAUGUUAUCAUGCUAAAUAUAUGGACUGAAGCAAAACAUGUAACAUACACAGAAUGGGCAAAAUUCUCGAAAGAAGAAGAAAAGCCCAACUUUUGUUUUCAAGAGUUAUGAGACCCUGGUUCUAGUUGGUUGAACUUAA